rnacentral:pre_miRNA from 2 species
GUGCUCGGUUUGUAGGCAGUGUAAUUAGCUGAUUGUACUGUGCUGCUUACAAUCACUAACUCCACUGCCAUCAAAACAAGACAC